GAAUACCGAAGAAUGUUAUCACGGGAGACACACGGCGGGUGCUAACGUUCGUCGUGAAGAGGGAAACAACCCAGACCGCCAGCUAAGGUCCCAAAGUCAUAGUUAAGUGGGAAACGAAGUGGGAAGGCUCAGACAGCCAGGAUGUUGGCUUAGAAGCAGCCAUCAUUUAAAGAAAGCGUAAUAGCUCACUGGUCGAGUCGGCCUGCGCGGAAGAUGUAACGGGGCUAAACUAUGCACCGAAGCUGCGGCAGCGAACGUAUCACUUAAACUGAUUAAGUGAUACUCAAAUGUAUCAAAACGAUUGACGGAGCGAAGCGACGUCAAUGCGUCCAACAAAGUCGAGGCGGAAACGUCAGGCAGUCAGUUUAAGGAUACGUUCGUUGGGUAGGGGAGCGUUCUGUAAGCCUGUGAAGGUGUGCUGUGAGGCAUGCUGGAGGUAUCAGAAGUGCGAAUGCUGACAUAAGUAACGAUAAUGCGGGUGAAAAACCCGCACGCCGGAAGACCAAGGGUUCCUGUCCAACGUUAAUCGGGGCAGGGUGAGUCGACCCCUAAGGCGAGGCAGAAAUGCGUAGUCGAUGGGAAACGGGUUAAUAUUCCCGUACUGGUGAUAAUUGCGAUGGGGGGACGGAGAAGGCUAGGCUAUCCGGGCGACGGUUGUCCCGGUUUAAGGAUGUAGGCAGGUGAAUUAGGCAAAUCCGGUUCACUAUAUGCUGAGGUCCGA
rnacentral:rRNA from 1 species